GUCCACAAAUUCCUAUAAAGCAAAACUUUGAUGCUACAUAUAAUCAUACUAUAAACACCAAUAAAAUUGACCAAAUAUCCGUUUUCAGUUGAUUUAAAGGAAUCCCAGAUGAAAAAGAAAAAUUCCUAGCUAAGCAUCAAGUAGUUCCCAUUUCUUGCAGACUAAAACCACGAGAAAAUCCAAACCCAGCUCAAGUCCUCAACUAAAUCAGAAAAAGCAUAAAAAGACCAGAUGCCAAAACUACAAAACCAUCAUAAAAAAGGCCGCAAAAAAGUUCCACAAACGAGACGCCAAAACACUUCAAAUAUAGUAGCAAAGAUAGUAAAAGUAAUAGCGAUAGUACCCCAUGAGAUUAACCCUCAGG
rnacentral:misc_RNA from 1 species